UCUAUAAGGAAGAUCUAAAGAACGCUUCCACAGUGGGGAUCGAACCCGUGACCUCCUGGUUGCUAGGCGGACACCAUAUCCUUUACGCCACAGCUACCUCAGGGUUUGGGGUAACGGUACAGUUUGUCAAGACACCAAACGCAAAGCCUAUCCCAAGGCAAUGCCCCAUUUGCGUGGUAAACGGCAACACGACUGUGUACCUCCGGGUAACAGACCACGUUCGCUGGGUGCAAGCGCUGACGGCAGACCCCAUGAAGCCGUUGAUGUCAGAGGCACGUGCUAAGACCGGUCGGAAAGUGAAGAAGACAAAGACGAGGAAUUACUACUCUUGCUGGCUGUGCGACCGGUCGGUGAUUGACCGGCUGCGUCAUCUAGAACAGGAGCACAAAAUGGAGGCUGGGACAUUCAAUUUUGUUUACACAAGAGGGCCGUUUCCGGAAAGUCGCGAAAACUUCAGGAAAGGUGACCAGCAGACUCGCCACUCAUGAUGACUCGGCAUAGGAGGAUGAGAAGGUGGAGGAUGAGGAGGAGGAGGAAGAGGACUUUUCAUUCCUAACGCGGAAAUACUGCCUGAGCCUGGAACCCAAUGCAAGGGUGAUGCAUGGUCGGAGAAGCUGCAAGUAACAAUAUGGAUUGCUUAUAUAGUGUAAAGUUUUGAGUCCGUUUUCGGGGUAGAACCAGUACUUGGUGCAUUAAGCCCUGUUUUCCCAGAUUUUUUUUUAAUUAUAUACAUUUCAAUUUAUAGUCAUUAUUAUUGCAACAUGUAUAUAUAUUAAAAACCGUGAGGAAAUAUAUAUAAGUACAUUAAAAUUUAAGAUAAAUAUUAUUUAUUUAUAAUACUUUGGAAUUACUGGUUGUUAGUUAAAUUAUAUGCGAUUUCACCAUCUAGCAUAGAAUAUCAUCCAAUAAUACUUG